rnacentral:lncRNA from 1 species
AAGCCUUAGCGCCAUGGCAGCUGCAAAGCUAGUACUCAAAUCGUUCGCCGGAGGCCUAAUCCUCUCCACCCCAUCGGCUCCCAAUACCCCCACCCCCACCACCUCCUCCUCCUUCUCCUCCUCCUCUUUCUUCCCCAUAUCGAGAGCUAUCUCCUCCCCUCCUCCGCUGCGCUCUUCGGCCAGCCGACUCCCACACAACUACAAUCCACUGCCGAAGGAGCCGGCUGCCGAAGAUCCACGACAGCAACAGCACAAGACCAUUCUCGUCGAGACCUUCCAUCGAAACAACUGCCUCAAAGCCC